AAAACCGGUAUAAAUUGUUGGUUAAUUCAAUGUGUUAUUUCAUUCAUUUGAAAUGUAUCCUGUAGACGUUUGUGCAUAUUUUACAGAAUAUUUUUUUUUGAAACUGUUUUCUAUUUACUUAAGUUGAUUUGAACUCUGUAUAUAUCGUCGUCUGUACACUUAAUCAACUAUUUUAGUUACCGUUGAGAAGAGUAACAUUGUGUACGGAUCACAGAUUCUGACAAAUUCAAUUGAGAAGAGUAAUACUGUGAAUGGACAGAAGAUUCUGACAUAUUCAACAUUGUCCAGAAUACUAUGCAUGUCCAUAUAAUGAAGAAAAAAACAUUUACGGACCGACCAUUUAGCUUCAAAAGGGGAUUCUUAUCAUUCUAAUUGACUGUUGGCAGAAGGGGUGUGUUAUAUAAAGUGGCAUUAAGGCCAUGAAGACAUACUGUACAAUAACAUGCUGAGGUUCCUAUAAGAGUUUGACGAAGGGCCACGUGUAAUCCCUUAUUGACAGUUGCAGAACUUUGACCAACAGAUUUCAUUUUGGGAUAUAAUGGCAAGUUGGGAUGAGAAACUUCUUACAGCUGCAAGGAAGGGGAAUAUAAAAGAGGUAGAACUAUGUGUAAAGAACAAAGCUAACUUGGAAUGUAAAACUGAUGAAUUUG